AACGCGAAGAACCUUACCUACCCUUGACAUCCCGCGGAUUUGAUAGAGAUAUUGAAGUGCCGAAAGGAACGCGGAGACAGGUGCUGCAUGGCUGUCGUCAGCUCGUGUUGUGAGAUGUUGGGUUAAGUCCCGUAACGAGCGCAACCCUUAUGCUUAGUUGCCAACACGUAAAGGUGGGGACUCUAAGGAGACUGCUGGUGAAGAACCGGAGGAAGGCGGGGACGACGUCAAGUCAUCAUGGCCUUUAUGGGUAGGGCUACACACGUGCUACAAUGGGCAGUACAGAGGGAAGCGAAACGGAGACGUGGAGCGAAUCCCGAAAAGCUGUUCGUAGUCCGGAUUGAAGUCUGCAACUCGACUUCAUGAAGUCGGAAUCGCUAGUAAUCGCGAAUCAGCAUGUCGCGGUGAAUACGUUCCCGGGCCUUGUACACACCGAGUAUA
rnacentral:rRNA from 1 species